GCGAGGCACGAAGGGCCGCUCAGGGCGCAGGCCCAGAUCCCUGAGAGGUCGGAAAGGGUGGAUCCCUUCUUUAGAUGCCGGUUUUAUUCCCAACGUCGGGUCUCGGUUUUGUUUCCUCCUUUCGCGUCUUUCCCGGACCCGCGCCCUGUGGAGAGAUUUUCUUCCCCCUUUACCCCCUGUCCAGGCCACAUCUGGCAGGAGGCUUCUCGGAAGCUGAGACAUCAUCCCUAGGUAUUGUAAAUACCUAUUUCAGGAAGAUCAAUUCAAAUAUUUGUUUGGCAUUUAAAGGAAUUUUAAGAAAGACACUGUAUUUGCUCAGGCUCUCAAUUUUUCUGGCCUGAAUUUCCACCAAAAGCCCUUCAGCUCUUCCCUCAACCUCCAAUCCUACCCACUCCAGUCUACCUCCUCCACCCUACAGCUAGAGUGAGCUUUCAUUUUAUGGAUCUAAUCCCAAUCACUUCUCCGAUGAAAAGUUGCAAUGGAGCUCAUUAUAGACAAGGUGAAAAUUUUUUGGCAUGCCAUUUAGCACCUUUUAAGAGUGGGUGUCUCUCUACUCUCCAUCAUAAUCUUCUUUAUGCAAUAAAUUCCAAAAAUAUUUGUUGGUUGCUUAUUACACACCAGGAUUUGCUGUAGGCCCUAAAAGCAGCAGUGAACAAAAGAGAAAAAUCCCCGCCUUUGUGGAGCUUGCAUUCUACUGGAUGGGGACAAGCAUGUAAAUAAAAUGUGUAGUUUAUCAGA